GCCUACGGGGCGCAGUAGUCGAGAAUCAUUCACAAUGGGGGAAACCCUGAUGGUGCGACGCCGCGUGGGGGAAUGAAGGUCUUCGGAUUGUAAACCCCUGUCAUGUGGGAGCAAAUUAAAAAGAUAGUACCACAAGAGGAAGAGACGGCUAACUCUGUGCCAGCAGCCGCGGUAAUACAGAGGUCUCAAGCGUUGUUCGGAAUCACUGGGCGUAAAGCGUGCGUAGGCUGUUUCGUAAGUCGUGUGUGAAAGGCGCGGGGUCAACCCGCGGACGGCACAUGAUACUGCGAGACUAGAGUGAUGGG
rnacentral:rRNA from 1 species